GUCUUCACUUCAGCAGCACAUAUACUAAAAUUGGACUGAUACAGAGAAGAUUAGCAUGGCCCCCAUGCAAGGAUGACACACAAAUUCACGAAGCGUUCCUUACUGGA
ensembl:snRNA U6 U6 spliceosomal RNA